GAUCUGGGGCCGAGGAAUGUGGUGUUUGGGAGGACCAUGACCGCCUGUCCGGCUUUCGUCCAAGUCUCCAUGAACGGGGCGAGCAACCCAGAGAGGGUGUCAGGCCCGUGGUAUUGGCGAGUCGCGACCGUGGUAGAGGUCUCUCCUUGGAGUCGGGUUGCUUGAGAGUGCAGCUCUAAGCGGGAGGUAAACUCCUUCUAAGGCUAAAUACGGCCACGAGACCGAUAGCGAACAAGUACCGCGAGGGAAAGUUGAAAAGAACUUUGAAGAGAGAGUUCAAGAGUGCGUGAAACCGUUCGGAGGGUAAAACGGGUGGGCGCUCGAAGAUCGAACGAUCCUUACUCCCGCCAUCUGCACGCCAGUCUCCCGCAGAUCCAUCAAGUGUGCCCACGCCUUCACGGGCGCGAGUUU
rnacentral:rRNA from 1 species